CUACUAUAUUCUAAUCUACUUUACUCUAUUCUAAACUACUCUAUUCUAUUCUACUCUAUUCUAUUCUACUCUACUCUAUUAUAUUCUACUCUCUUCUUCUCUAUUCUACUCUAUUCUAUUCUACUAUAUUAUAUUCUACUCUAUUCUAUUCUACUCUAUUCUACUCUAUUCUACUCUACUAUAUUAUAUUCUACUCUGCUCUACUCUUUUCUACUCUAUUAUAUUAUAUUCUGCUCCAUUCUAUUCUACUAUAUUCUAUUCUACUCUACUCUACUCUACUCUACUCUACUCUAUUCUGCUCUACUCUACUUUAUUCUACUCUACGCUACGCUACACUAUUAUACUCUACUCUAAUCUACUCUAUUCUACACUUUUUUACUCUACUCUAUUCUACUAUUUGUACUAUUUCUACUACUCUGUUCAACACAAUUCUACUCUAUUCUACCCUAUUCCACACUAUUCUACUCUACUCUAUUCUACUAUUUAUACUGUUUCUACUACUCUAUUCUCACAAUUCUACUCUAUUCUACUCUAUUCUGCUCUUCCUUUUCUACUCUACUCUAUUCUAGUCUAUUCUAUUCUAAUCUGCUCUAUUCUACUAUAUUCUGACUACUCUACUCUAUUCUAAUUUAUUAGAGUCUAUUCUACUCUACUCUAUUCUACUUUAUUAUAGUUUAUUCUACUAUAUUCUAUUCUACUUUAUUCCACUCUAUUCUACUAUACUGUACUCUAUUGGCCCUCCAGAUCGAUAGCUCAAACAGAACACUGCUCUAUCUUUCUGUAGGAUUUAAAACAACUCCCAUUCCUGGGGUUACAGGGGAAUGCGUACUCUAUUGACAUCACAAACAACCACACCAUCGAUUUAGUAGAUAUUUGUUGUCAGUGUAUAGUCUUCCGUAAUGUGCACAUUACCCAGGCUGGACUUCCUGUAGUGAGACCUUGGACAUUGAUAUUCUAUUGCUCCCAGCACCAGUGGAGUCUUGUCUACGGUGCGGACUGAAGAGGGAUGACCUUUCCCAGAAUGCAUUGCCAGUCACACUAACAGCCCUCAAUCAGUCAAUCAAAUAGUCCUUGAUAAGAUAUCCUGGUCGAUAAAAAAAAUUGAGUAUUCCAUAAUGUUCUCAGAGAAAGACUGCAAAUUGUCUCUGAAUAUAUGAGAUUUUACAUCAAUCAGAAAUGUGGCUACACUCGGUGACAUCAUAGUAGCAAAAGUGUAAUUAUUGAAUGACCAUAGUGCUGAACCUUGUUACCUCUCCAUUAUUUAAUUACAGUCAAUUAGUCAAUCUUCCAUUACACGGCUGUGAUGAGAGACCGUGAGACGUCUGAUCCGAUCAAACCAUUGAUCAGAGAGAAGACACCGACUGCACAAUCUAAGAAAAAUAAAUAGGAAGAUUUCUCAUGCCAGUGCAAUUACGACUGACAUUUUGAAUGAUAUAACUCAACUGAAGCUCACUAAAAACAUCCCUAUGUGGGACCAUCGUAUCAUCCGUCUAUAUCCCAGCAGGCAGUGUCAGGGGCUCAGGUCUCUCUAUGGCCCAGAGCAGCCAAUCGUUUCCCCUCCCCCCUCUCCACUCCUCGGGCCGUGUCCAUCGGCCUGAGCAUGAGAACAGGGAUCCAUGCUGAGGUAAUUUGUUUCAAUCAAUUAAACCGACAUCCGCUUGCAUUAAACUCCAAUAACCCUGUCUGUACCUCACACAGCUCUCUCUCUCUCUGCAGUAACACGGUAGUCAUAGAACAGACCAAGGGCUCUCCAUUUUACACGGGAUACAUCAUUAAUUACUCAUUAUUUUAGAUCAUAAACAUAUUUUUUCUCAAAGUACAAUUUAGGUUCAGAUUCCUAUUGUGUUUUUGUAAUAAUUAAUUCAACAUGGGAUAAAUUAAAUGUAACAACGCGGAUAGAAAACAGGUUCACUGAUUAGAGGAGCCCAUAGGCUAUUGUUUUGAAUGUUUAUGUGAGGGGGGAAAGUGUAGGCCUACAGUAUGCUGGUAGAAUAGCGUAUAGUUCAAGUCCCCAGAAUAGUCCACAGCUUGUAAUGAUGUUCAGUACAGAUUCUGGUCAUUACUCCACAGCGUGAACUAGCUAUGCUAACUGGAAAUGAACACGUGGGCUAAUUACAAUUCAGUGGAGCUGCAAGAGGAGGUGUUUAAAGGAACGAGGUCACUCUGAUGGCAGACAACAUCCUCUCAAAGGAACGAGGUCACUGUGAUGGCAGACAACAUCCUCUCUGAAGGAACGAGGUCACUGUGAUGGCAGACAACAUCCUCUCUGAAGGAACGAGGUCACUCUGAUGGCAGACAACAUCCUCUCUGAAGGAACGAGGUCACUCUGAUGGCAGACAACAUCCUCUCUGAAGGAACGAGGUCACUCUGAUGGCAGACAGCAUCCUCUCUAAAGGAACGAGGUCACUCUGAUGAUAGACAGCAUCCUCUCUGAAGGAACGAGGUCACUCUGAUGGCAGACAACAUCCUUUUGGCAAUGUCGGUCGGGAAAAUGUCUACCCACACACAUGCACACACACACAGACACACACACACACACACACACACACACACACGCACACACGCACAUACGCACACACAUACACGCACACACACACACGCACACACACACACACACACACACACACACACACACACACACACACGCACGCACACACACGCACGCACGCACGCACACACACACACACACACACACACACGCACACACACACGUACGCAUUAAAUCAAACACAAAAAUGCAGAUGAACAAACACAAUUAUUACGUAGCAGAGGUUUAUAGUUGUCCUGAUAUUAUUGUAACACAGAACCUCUGUUUAUAAAGUCAGAAUGUUUUUAGCGAUGCUAUAAUAAUAUGCUCAUUAUUGAUUGGGAAAAUGUAAUAUAAUACAUCAUGGAGGCAACCCAAGAUAACUAGGACUAUAGAAUACCAAAUUAACCGACUUAUUCCUGAUAUAUUAACUUCUAACAAUGUUUAUAAUGAAGUGUCUCGCUACUUGAUCUGAUUUGAUAUUUCUCUAAUUCAUAAACCUCCCAUCCUCUGCAACACAGGGCUAUAUGAGAUAGCAACGAGGGGAAUGGUAUUUCUCAAACAUAUAAGAUGUUUAUGGUUAUCUGGGAUUAGAACUAAAUCUAGCCUGAAUGUAGUCUGAAUAAAAUGGAAGAAGGAAAGCAGAAAGCGGGACAAAGGCUUCUAACCUGCUUAAGCUGGAGACUAGCGCUGCUGUGUCUGAGACUGAACACUUUCCCUUUGUGUUUGCUUGAUCUGGUGUUUGCCUGUUUCAGGGUGUGUGUAUGCACACGAGUGGACAUGCACA
rnacentral:lncRNA from 1 species